GGUGAAUCUGUUAAAUUCCAUGGAAAUUCUCUUAUCUGGAAGAUGGAAAAUGAUUUGAAAAGAAGAUAUUGGGCAUGGUCUAAAAAUAUAGAGCAGAGAUCUCUUUAACAACUCAUAAUCAUUGAAUUGGAAGAGCUCCUACUCUCAUUGAUAAAGAGAAGAUAUCAAAUUGAAGACUGUCUGUUAGUAGAAACACCAAGGUUUAUCAUUCAACGCACAAUCUCAUUAACAAUAUGCAAUCAAUUUGAAAAGCCUCUGGAUGUCUGAUAACAUGCAAGAUACUGGAAAAUGAAUCAAGAAAGAGGUGACUAUUCAAAGUUAGAAACAUUGUAAGCAAUUUAUAGUGCUCUAGCCUGCAUAUCCAUGAUUAAAAAAAAAACAAAAUUCAACAGGAAC